rnacentral:rRNA from 1 species
GACGAACGCUGGCGGCGUGCCUAAUACAUGCAAGUCGAACGCUGGAGGAGGAGCUUGCUUCUCUGGAUGAGUUGCGAACGGGUGAGUAACGCGUAGGUAACCUGCCUGGUAGCGGGGGAUAACUAUUGGAAACGAUAGCUAAUACCGCAUAAUAUUGACUAUUGCAUGAUAGUCAGUUGAAAGGUGCAACUGCACCACUACCAGAUGGACCUGCGUUGUAUUAGCUAGUUGGUGGGGUAACGGCUCACCAAGGCGACGAUACAUAGCCGACCUGAGAGGGUGAUCGGCCACACUGGGACUGAGACACGGCCCAGACUCCUACGGGAGGCAGCAGUAGGGAAUCUUCGGCAAUGGACGGAAGUCUGACCGAGCAACGCCGCGUGAGUGAAGAAGGUUUUCGGAUCGUAAAGCUCUGUUGUAAGAGAAGAACGAGUGUGAGAGUGGAAAGCUCACACUGUGACGGUAUCUUACCAGAAAGGGACGGCUAACUACGUG